AGUGGCGGACGGGUGAGUAACGCGUGAGAAUCUGCCUUGGGGUCGGGGACAACCACUGGAAAUGGUGGCUAAUACCGGAUAAGCCGAUUGGUGAAAGAUUUAUUGCCCGAAGAGGAGCUCGCGUCUGAUUAGCUAGUUGGUGAGGUAAGAGCUCACCAAGGCAGCGAUCAGUAGCUGGUCUGAGAGGACGAUCAGCCACACUGGGACUGAGACACGGCCCAGACUCCUACGGGAGGCAGCAGUGGGGAAUUUUCCGCAAUGGGCGAAAGCCUGACGGAGCAAGACCGCGUGAGGGAGGAAGGCUCUUGGGUUGUAAACCUCUUUUCUCAGGGAAGAAGCUCUGACGGUACCUGAGGAAUCAGCCUCGGCUAACUCCGUGCCAGCAGCCGCGGUAAUACGGAGGAGGCAAGCGUUAUCCGGAAUUAUUGGGCGUAAAGCGUCCGCAGGUGGCGAUUCAAGUCUGCUGUCAAAGCACGGGGCUUAACUCCGUAAAGGCAGUGGAAACUGAAUAGCUAGAGUGCCGUAGGGGUAGAGGGAAUUCCCGGUGUAGCGGUGAAAUGCGUAGAGAUCGGGAAGAACAUCGGUGGCGAAAGCGCUCUACUGGACGGCAACUGACACUCAGGGACGAAAGCUAGGGGAGCGAAUGGGAUUAGAUACCCC
rnacentral:rRNA from 1 species